CUAGAAGGCUCACAUGUUGGCUAACGUCAUGACGAAUGCAUUUUAUGGCACAAGAGUUUGAAAAAAAAAUUACCUCACCAAAGACAUAACAAGGAAAGAUGUGGAAAAAGCAGUGCCAAAAUGGCUGAUUGGUGCCAGGGACAGGGGAUGCAACCGUGCCAUUAGAGCACAUGGAGGAGAGCAAAACCGGGGGGUGAAGCAGCAGACCAAACUGCAGAAAGCCAGGACUAGGGCUGUGUUCCUCCAUCUAUGUUACUUCCUGUAUGUUUCUGUGUGUUCCUGUUGCAGUGUUCCUCCAUCUAUGUUACUUCCUGUAAGUUUCUGUAUGUUCCUGUAUGUUCCUUAGCAGAAAGUGUUCCUGUUUGCUCUCCUUUUUUUUCUCCGUUUUUUUUUUUUCUCGUAGUUUCCAAUAAAUCGGACAAAUGUCAAUGUUGUUGGUGACACUUUAAAUGUAUUGGUAUUGAUGUAAAUGGUAUUGUUAAAAAAUUCUAGGAACAUUCACUGAGUGUUUUAAUUUCCUCGGAGUAGGAACAGAAACACAUUUGUUUUAUAAUUUUCAUGAAGGGAACAUUAAACUGAAAUCAUUCUGGUAACCUUCCUAUAAUGUUCAAUUAACCUUGGGAACAUCAGGAAAACUUGCUGUUUAUAAUUGUGUUUAAAACAUUCAAACAUUUUGGCAACCGUCCUAUAAUAUUCAACUUACUUUCGCAGAACAUUCUGGGAACAUCAAAAUAACCUUCUGGUUAUGUUAGGAAAACUUGCUAUUUUAACUUGGAAGGACUGUUUUACGAAGAACAUUCUGGUAACCUUCUUUAAACGUUCAAUUAACCUUCCAAGAACAUUCAGGGAACAUCAAUAUAACCUUCUGGUUCGCCAGGGCGUAAAACUAGCCAGGACUGCCUCUGGCACUGAUAUUUUUACCGUAACCAUCUUUUUUAUCUAUGGAAGCCCAUUUUCACCAAUGGAAAAAAAUCACCAAUCCUAAUCAAAAAUGUGAGAUAAAAAGUCAUAAUUAUGAAUGUAGCCUAGUUUUCAAAUUAAUUUGUGGCAUGUUGUCUUGUAAAGUGUGUGGCCUCACAGUGGCUGCAGAUGGGACAGAGGAUGAGAUGAUUCACUGUUCACAAGGCAGGACAACUAGUACACUGUGCUGUAGUAAAUAGUGUUGAUUUACAAAAACACCAAAAACUAUUUUUACUGUUAAAGUAAAGUUUGUUACUGUAAAUAAUACAGUACUUUAUUUGUAAUACUAUAUAGAAAAUAUACAUUUUUACUGUAAAGACAAGUUUACAUAAAUAUUUCUGCUGUUACAAUUAAAAAAAAAAUACAUUAUUUGUAUUUUCAAAUUUGGCUGGGAUUCUUUUUUUCUUUUAUUAAAAGCCUCCUUCAAACAGUAGCCUGUCCCUAUUUGUAGCCUGGUCCCAAAUUAUUUUUUUUUUAGCCCCGGCUACUAUUUGAGGAAAUACGGUAUGUAUGUAACAUACAGUCACUGGCCACUUUGUGUACACCUGUCUAAUCUAAUGCAAUCCAGUAGAACGAUUAUACCAUGAUUAUUUUCCCCGAAGCUUAUAAAUUUUAGGUUAUUGUUGACAUCGUCUAGAAAGUGGUGAUUCUACUUUGUUUAUUAUUGAGGUCAUAGUGAAUGGUGGUGGUGUACUGGGGUGGUCUCCUAAUUUUGUCUAAUUGAGGGGGACGAAUAUUAGGAACACUUUUAAAUAUACUGCACUCCAGUAAACCAACACCACCCACUACGACCUCAAUAAUAAAGUCGAAUAAUCACCUUUCUGACAAAAGCUGAAAAUGUAAAAUAUUUGUAAACGUACAAUGUGUGGCAGAGCUGUUGUAUUGUAAAAUGCCUCUAUAGCGCCCCCUUGAAAUUUUCAAAAAAAACCUUCCCAUGGGGGUUUUCUUGGAGUAGGAAGAUGAAAUGUCACACCACGUCAGGGUUAACUUACUCUGAGUUUUCACAUAAACACUUCAGUGAUGCGUGCUGCUGGCCCCCCGCGUUGACGCGGGAGAGCGAGGGCCUGAUCACAGCUGCUUGCAGCUUUAAUUGUAAUUGUAAUUGUAAUCUGUGCAUACAUGUGCUGUAUUGUCUAUAGUACACACAGUAUAUAGUCUAUGUAUAUACAAUAUGUUUGUUAGAAAUUAAUAUGCUAAGAUAUUUUUUGCCAAAUACAUAAAAAAAAUGAAACAGAUCUGCACCUUAUGUUCACUGGCAACAUUUUUUUUUCUUUUCUUAAGGAAGUGCUAUAUUAUGUAUUGCACAAAAUCGUCGUGUAGUCCUAUCUAUUGCUGAAAACCAUAAUGCUUUCCCAACAUUUACCAGGCAAUUUGAGUUGCCUGAACAUAAAAAAUUUAAGCCUGCUUUAAGAUUAAAUGUCCAGCGUGUAGGCUUUAUUGGCAUCACCGCUGUUUGCCAAGCAUGUAGGAGAACUACGGUGGCCAACACAAAAAACACAAAUGGACCUAUCAAGAGCCAGUGUUUGACUGGCCAUUCAGAGCUACUGUAGAAAUAACAUGGCAGACUAUGUGGAAGAGGACAUGGGCCAUAUGUAGAUAUAAACUGCUGGUGACAAAAACACAAUAGAUCUCUUUUUAGGUGAUUUUAAAGUGAUGAAAACAUAUUUCUGAAUAUUAUAUACCGUUUCUGCUAAUAAAUGCACUCAAGUCAUACGCAUUGGACCUUUAAGACGCUUUGUUUUCAUUGCAGGGUAAACACAACGAAAUCUGGUUUGGCAGCAAUUCACUCCACUUAGAAGCAUAUAUAAAUGUAUUGCGUAAUAUUGCGAAAAUUAGGCCUAUCCUGACCCGAAAAGAUGCAGAAAAAUUGGUCCACGCUUUUGUUACCUCUAGACUGGAUUACUGUAACUCCCAUUUAUAUAGCACACGAGUCAAAUGACUUCUCAAGGUGCUUCACAAUCCAAGAAGAUUAAAACACAUAAGUAGCAGUGAAACAACCUAACAGGCAAUCAAUCAAUCAAACAAAUAUGUAAAAGUACAAAACAACAAGUAAAUAACUAGAGUAAAAACAUAGGGGCAGAGAAUGGAACUCUGUCUUAUCCGAAAGCAGAAUGGAAUAAGUAAGUCUUGAGGCUGGUUUUGAAAGUGGCAAGGGAGUCUGAGGUCCUGAUGGAAACAGGCAGUUUAUUCCACAAGCGUGGCCCCGUAGAGGAAAAGGCAUAGUGUCCCAUGGUAGACAGUCUGGUGCGUGGAAUAGUGAGGAGGUUUUGGCUGUUUGACCUGAGGUCUCAGUUUUGUUUGUUUUUUUUUUUGUUUUUUUUUUCAAUUAUCUUUUUAUUUGUUUUUAACAUUUUACAAACACACUUAACAUAGGGAGAACAAGGGAAGAGUAAAGACAAAAAACAAAAGGACAGAUACAACAAAACAAAGACGUGAAAAAAGGGAAAAAAAAAUAUAAAAAGUAAAAAAUAGCAAAUUAAAUUAAACCAUGGUCACAGUUUGUAUGUCUCUGUUGUAUAUGGAAUCAAAGCAUGCCCAGCCAUGCUAGGUGGUUCCCAUAUUCGCAGGAAGGCAUCCCCCUUGUUUUUUAGGAUAUAUAUGUACGUUGUUCCAACCUUAAAGUCUCAUUUAGAAUUUGUUUAAACAAAUCAACUGUUGGAGGUCUUUGCUGAUUCCAGUUAAGUAGGAUGCAUUUCUUUGCUAUGUAGGAUAUUGUGCCGAUCCUCUUCGUGUAUGUGGGAUCUAGU